GCAAACGUUGGGAACUGAAACAUCUCAGUACCGACAGGAAAAGAAAAUAACAAUGAUUCCCCAAGUAGUGGCGAGCGAACGGGGAGGAGCCCAAACCACGGCGGUUACGGCCGCUGUGGGGUUGUAGGACUGCAACAUCUGAUUGAAUCGAGAUAACUGAACUGCAUGGGAAGGCAGGCCAUAGACGGUGAGAGCCCGGUAAGUGACAUUUCUGAUUCACGGUAGCAGUAUCCUGAGUAGGGCGGGGCCGGAGAAACCCCGUCUGAAGCGAGCGGCACCAUCCGCUAAGGCUACAUACUCCUGAGACACCGAUAGUGAACUAGUACCGUGAGGGAAAGGUGAAAAGAACCGGGAAUACCGGAGUGAAAAGAACCUGAAACCGUGUGCUUACAAGCAGUCAGAGGGGUUCAGUGCCCUGAUGGCGUGCCUUUUGCAUAAUGAGCCUACGAGUUACUCCUCCCCGGCAAGGUUAAGCGGUUGAAGCCGCGGAGCCGCAGCGAAAGCGAGUCUGAACAGGGCGCGUAGUCGGGGGGGGUAGACGCGAAACUUGGUGAGCUACCCAUGACCAGGAUGAAGGUGCGGUAACACGCACUGGAGGUCCGAACCAGUUUCCGUUGAAAAGGAUUUGGAUGAGUUGUGGGUAGGGGUGAAAGGCCAAUCAAACUGAGAAAUAGCUCGUACUCCCCGAAAUGUAUUGAGGUACAGCGUCGGCGUGGAGCGUGCUGGAGGUAGAGCUACCGAUAGGACUAGGGGGUGUCAGAGCCUACCGAAUCCUGACGAACUCCGAAUGCCAGCACGUAUAGCCGGCAGUGAGGCCUGGGGUGCUAAGGUCCCCGGCCGAGAGGGAAAGAACCCAGACCAACAGCUAAGGUCCCUAAAUCUAGGUUAAGUUGAACAAAGGAGGUCCGAUUGCUUUGACAGCCAGGAGGUUGGCUUGGAAGCAGCCAUUCCUUUAAAGAGUGCGUAACAGCUCACUGGUCGAGCGAUCGGGCGUCGAUAAUACGCGGGCAUCAAACCUAGUACCGAAGCUUUGGAUUUGCCCAUUGAAUUGGGCAAGUGGUAGGGGAGCAUUCUUCUCGCGGAGAAGCCGCCUCGUCAGGGGCGGUGGAGCGUGGAGAAACGCAUAUGUAGGCAUGAGUAACGAUAAUGGGGGUGCGAAACCCCCACGCCGAUAGACCAAGGUUUCCAGCUCAACGCUAAUCGGAGCUGGGUUAGUCGGGACCUAAGGAAAAGCCGAGAGGUGUAUUCGAUGGCCAGCUGGUUAAUAGUCCAGCACCAAUGUUGCAAAGUGAUGCAGUGACGCAGAAGUGAAAGCACCGCGGGCGGACGGAAGUGCCCGUUGAAGGGCGUAGGUAGUGGGGCCGUAGUUAAGUACGCGGACCUAGCCGAAACCUGAUAGUACCGCACGGGCUUCGGCCCACGCGGAUAGUGUGCCUAAUCCGACUGCCAAGAAAACCUGCUAAGCGUUUUAAUUGCACCAUUGCCCGUACCGCAAACCGACACAGGUGGUCAAGGAGAGUAUCCUGAGGCGCUCGAGUGAAUCACGGCCAAGGAACUCGGCAAAAUGGACCUGUAACUUCGGGAGAAGGGUCGCUUCCUCUGCGCAAGCAGAGAAGCCGCAGUGAAAAGGCCCAGGCGACUGUUUAACAAAAACACAUGGCUAUGCCAACGCGCAAGCGGACGUAUAUGGCCUGACACCUGCCCGGUGCCGGAAGGUUAAGAGGGGAACUUAGUCGCAAGGCGAAGGUUUGAAUCGAAGCCCCGGUAAACGGCGGCCGUAACUAUAACGGUCCUAAGGUAGCGAAAUUCCUUGUCGGGUAAGUUCCGACCUGCACGAAUGGUGUAACGAUCUGGGCGCUGUCUCAGC
rnacentral:rRNA from 1 species